CACGCCGUAAACGAUGAAUACUAGGUGUAGGGGACGCAGGUCUUCUGUGCCGGAGCAAACGCAAUAAGUAUUCCGCCUGGGGAGUACGGCCGCAAGGUUGAAACUCAAAGGAAUUGACGGGGGCCCGCACAAGCAGCGGAGCAUGUUGUUUAAUUCGAAGCAACGCGAAGAACCUUACCAGGGCUUGACAUCCACUGAACCUGGCAGAGAUGCUGGGGUGCCGCAAGGAGCAGUGAGACAGGUGG
rnacentral:rRNA from 1 species